GGGUCUUCGAGGAACAGCCAUUAGAGCCAGUUGCCUGUCUCUCUUCUAGAGAGUUGGUGGAACAUUUCCUGACUCCACUCUGAUAUGCUGCUGAGAAGGUAAUCUUGAUUUUUGGUAUUUCUGAAAAGUCAACUCUACUGGACUCUAGAAUAGCUUUGGUCAUCUGUUUCCACCUUGACUCUUGGGAGAGCAUCUGAUAGGACCUCGAGGGGCAUACCAUCCCUUUCUGCCCUUCUCCCUCCAGAGUGCACGUUUCCAUUUUCCAGUCCCAUUAACACCACCGUUAUCACAACUGCUAGGAUUUUGCUAAGUACUUAAAGCAGAAAGAGGCCUGGAUUAGAA
ensembl:lncRNA novel transcript, antisense to JAZF1